rnacentral:rRNA from 1 species
UGGGGAAUUUUGGACAAUGGGGGCAACCCUGAUCCAGCAAUGCCGCGUGAGUGAAGAAGGCCUUCGGGUUGUAAAGCUCUUUUGUCCGGGAAGAAACGGUGACUUCUAAUACAGGUUGCUAAUGACGGUACCGGAAGAAUAAGCACCGGCUAACUACGUGCCAGCAGCCGCGGUAAUACGUAGGGUGCAAGCGUUAAUCGGAAUUACUGGGCGUAAAGCGUGCGCAGGCGGUUUUGUAAGUCAGCUGUGAAAUCCCCGGGCUUAACCUGGGAAUGGCAGUUGAGACUGCAAGGCUGGAGUGUGUCAGAGGAGGGUAGAAUUCCACGUGUAGCAGUGAAAUGCGUAGAGAUGUGGAGGAAUACCGAUGGCGAAGGCAGCCCCCUGGGAUAACACUGACGCUCAUGCACGAAAGCGUGGGGAGCAAACAGG